CUUUCAACAACGGAUCUCUUGGCUCUGGCAUCGAUGAAGAACGCAGCGAAAUGCGAUAAGUAAUGUGAAUUGCAGAAUUCAGUGAAUCAUCGAAUCUUUGAACGCACAUUGCGCCCGCCAGUAUUCUGGCGGGCAUGCCUGUUCGAGCGUCAUUUCA
rnacentral:rRNA from 1 species